UCGAACGAAUCCCGGGGGGCAACUCCCGGGGGAAGUGGCGAAAGGGGCAGUAAGGCAUGGGUAACCUACCCCGAGGACCGGGAUAGCCCUCCUAACGGAGGGGUAAUACUGGGCGAUCUGACGAGGUGGCAUCAUCUUGUCAGCAAAGGAAUUUCGCCUUGGGAGGGGCUCAUGUGCUAUUAGCUAGUUGGCGGGGUAACGGCCCACCAAGGCGAAGAUGGCUAGCGGGUGUGAGAGCACGACCCGCGCCACUGGCACUGUGACACUGGCCAGACUCCUACGGGAGGCUGCAGUCGAGGAUCUUCGGCAAUGGGCGCAAGCCUGACCGAGCGACGCCGCGUGUGCGAUGAAGGCCUUCGGGUUGUAAAGCACUAUCGAGGGGGAGGAAAGCCCGCAAGGGUCUGACCUAUCCCUGGAGGAAGCACGGGCUAAGUUCGUGCCAGCAGCCGCGGUAAGACGAACCGUGCGAACGUUG
rnacentral:rRNA from 1 species